rnacentral:rRNA from 1 species
AGAGUUUGAUCCUGGCUCAGAUUGAACGCUGGCGGCGUGCCUAACACAUGCAAGUCGAGCGGUAACAGGUGUAGCAAUACAUGCUGACGAGCGGCGAACGGGUGAGUAAUGUUUCGGAAUCUGCCCAAUGGUGGGGAAUAACCAGCCGAAAGACUGGCUAAUACCGCAUACGACCUACGGGUGAAAGCGGGGGACCGUAA